rnacentral:lncRNA from 1 species
AGCCACCAAAAACCUGCCACCAAACCUACAAAGUCACCUGUCUCCACACCAGCUUCCUUCUGUGACACUGUCUUUCCUCCUAGCUAAGCCAGUGUCUUUGCAGAUGCUCUGCCUCCCUCAAUGUGUCUCCCACCUCCUCCACCUCUUCUCAACCUCUUCCUCUCUGCAGUUAUGGUCCUACCACCCAGAGAUUUGCUCUGUUAACAUAAUGCUAUGUUUCCUUUCAGCCUUUUUACACAUACAUAAGCAUACAUUUUAUACAUCAUUGGGAUUUUCAUCUAUGCCGGCAUUUGGACAGGUCAGCAGACUCACCAUGCUAUGGGAUUUAUUAUAUGAUUCGGACCUUCCACAGUUAUAAGGGGGAAAGAAGUAAAGGUCCAUGAUGGAGAUGUUGGUGGAGGAGAGGAGUCCUUAACCGGAAAACUAAAAAGCCAAACAUAUUAGGCUGAUUUUCCUGGUGGGCUCUGUAUAAUGUAUCUUUAUAAAAGGGGAGCAGUAGGAGAUUUGAACACAGCGUCAGGAAAUGUGAUGACAGAGCCGUGUGAGGAAGGGAUCCUGAGCCAAAGAGUGCAGGUGGCCUCCCGAAGCUAGAAAAGGCACAAAAACACAUUCUUCCCUGGAGCCUCCAGAAGGAACCAGACCCGCUGACAUGUUGGCUUUAGCUUGGUGAAACUGACUUUGAACAUCUGGCCUCCAGAAUUGCGAGAGAAUACAUUUGUGUUAUUCGAAGCCACUAAGUGUGUGGUAAUUCAUUACAGGAGCAAAAGGAAACAAAUGCACACAUUCAGUCAUAAAGUGAGAUCACUAAGGGACCAUGGCUGAAGAAGAUUGUUGAAAGCUGUCGCCUCUGUGUGGCUAGCUAUGUCCUCUGUGGAUCUGCAGGAUCAUCCCGUGCUGGGCCUGAGACCACCGCGGGUUGGUCAGCAAGGCCAGAAGCAAGAAGUGCUGGACAGAGAGCAGAGAAGAGCUAGGACCCUCUCAGUCACUUCUGCUCUGUCCUUCACUCCAUCUUGUCUCAGAUGCCUGCAGAAAGCAAUGAUGACUUUGUCACUUUUGCCGUCUAAAUCUCACGCAGGCUUCUCUUGGAGCCAGCUCUCACCCAUGUGGGGAACACAGUUCAGAGCUCUGGGACCCAUGGUUCCCAGCUUAGCUAAGUCUAUGCAACAUAACCCAACCUACGAUCAUACAGUUUUACAGGUUUUCAUCUGACUUUCCCUCGCCUCCACUUAAUAUAUCAAGAGCACUUUCCUAUACCAUUGACUAUUCCUCUAAAUUCAUUUAGAAGAAGUUCUGAUAAAAUAUUGACUUAGAGCAUUUUUUGUCUUUCUUUAUUACAAAUAGCACUGAAGUAGCUCUCUGUGCAUAUAAAUCUUUGUCAGUAGUUCUGACAAGUUUUGGGAAUGGAUUUCUAGAAAGAAGAGUUAGAGAAAGUAAAUUUCUACAGAUCGUGAUGAUUCUUGCCAAACUGAUUUCCAGAAAGGAUGUAUCAGCUUUCAUUCUUUUUUUGUUGUUGUUGUUGUUAUUCGAGCAUAGUUGAUUUACAGUGUUGGGUCAAUUUCUGCUGUACAGCAUAGUGACCCAGUCAUAUAUACAUAUACACAUUCUUUUUCUCAUAUUAUCUUCCAUCAUGUUCUACCUCCGAGAAUCUGGAUACAGUUCCCUGUGCUGUACAUCAGGACCUCAUUGCUUAUCCAUUCUAAGUGUAAUAGUUUGCAUCUCCAACCCCCAAUUCCCCAUCCAUCACACUUCCUCUCCCCUCCCCUCCACCAGUAUUAACACUGGGCCCUGGCCAGGGCUGAGUACCAUUUUUCAGUUCCCUUGAAGGGGCAUUUCUUGACAAUAUCUGAUGCUAGUCAUCCUUACAGCCUGAGAUUUGAGUAUGAGGUGAGCAGACUGGAACACUCAGCUCUGAGCUGGCUGGCUGGGCUGGAGACCCUGUCUCUGCUUUCCUCCAUGGGCACCUGUACCUUCAGAAGCUGCAUGCAUAGUGAAAGGGGACAACCUGCUUUGACAAAGAGUCCAGCAUUUUUCAGUCGUAACUUGGGGAAUAUAUUGCUUAAAAGGAAAUAUGUCUUCAUUAAACACUGUGUACAAGGGAAAUCACCAUUUUUGUUUCACAAAUAAAGCAGAAAUAAAAUGAGAGCAAAUGACUUCUCGAAUUGCAGCUGGCAAGUCCCUAGAAGAGUCAUGAUGAGCAUUUAGUUUCCUAAAGUGUUCAUGAUUUAAGACAUUUAAAAGCACCUAUAUUCUACCAAAAACUGGGUUCUGCAUCAGACCUAGGAAAAGAACAAUCUUUGAUUUAGUGCUAAAACUCUAAAACACUGGCUAAUUCCCAUUGCGAAGAUUUGAUUUAAUAAGGAUAGUUUUAUGGCACCCUACUUUAAAUAAUCUCUUUUGACUCUCAGCUUUAUUGCAACAGAAAUGAAAAAUAAAACAUGCUUGUCUCAUGGAAGUGACCCAACAAGAAAAGCUCUGACACCAGGAAUGUUGACCAGGGAGUGACUGAGCAGUCUAUGCAGCAUAUUUCCCCAAAUUUAUAUUUCAGCUGAAAUAUAACAGUUAGGGGGAUAAGCCGUAAUUGGUACAUUGAGACAAGAAAUUAAUACUGACUUAUCUUCUCUCCAAACUGCAAAGUGCAUUUUUAUAUACAAUCUCAGAAUGCUAAUAAAAUAAUCCAGUUUCCAUUUAUCAAAAUUAGAGAUGUCUACAUUUCUGAUGACUGAUUUACUUUAUGAAAUCCUAUUUUAGAGUUAUCAGACUGUCAGAGAUCUUUAGGAAAUUUCUGCCUGAAGUGAGCCAACCAACCAACAAACUUUCACUUAACACACACAAAACUAGAGAAGGCUGCAAGUGGUCUCCAAACCAGCAGUAUUAACGUCCCUUUGGAAAUGGUUAGAAAUGCAGAUUCUCAGGGCUUAGCUCAGAUCCAAAACUCUAGGGGUAGGGCUGGGCAAUUUUUGUUUUAACAAGCUCUCUGAUGCAUGCUGAAGUUAAUUUAAGAACUACUGAUCUAGAGUCCUGUCUUCAUUCUGCAGGCGAGGAAGCUGAAGCCUGGAGAGGCUGAGUAUCAUUCUCUAAAUCACAUGAGAAGCUAAUGACAGAGCAGGACCAGACAACCUGGUCCAUAGACAAUUUCAGUAGUCUUUCUACAAGUAGCUUCUCUGAAAUAUGCAGCAUGGAUGAAAGUAUGUUUAGUACAUUCCACCAAUGCAGCCAAGCCAGCAAUGGGUAGUAUACUUAGAAAGGAAAAGUUAGUGCUACAAGAAGUGACACAUACAGAGCUUAGCCACUAAGAAAAUUCACCUCUGUGGAACAGUCAACUAACACUUCAAUGACCUAGAUGAAUGAGCUAUUACUAUACCUCAGGGUUACAUAUUUUAAUCAUAAGCAUUAGAGCAAACUAUAUUGAGAUCACAAAAUUUCUCACAGAGGUCUGUGUGGAAUCUGCCGUUACUUGUCUUAUAAAACAUAAAAAAAUAAAAUAAAAUAAAUUCCCUUUGAGAGAAUUACCUUGCUCAAAUGACCUUAUUCACUGGGGGUAAAGAAAAAAUUGGGGAGGUUUUACCAAAUUGCAUCCACAGUUUCUAUUAUCUCUAUUCAAAGGGGACUUUUUCUAUCUCAAAAGGGAAACUCCUGCCAAAAUACCAAUGGGAACAGAAUUUGUUAUAACUGAUUUUCAUGGUAUGUUAAGAAUCUUAUAGAUGAUAAGGAAAAAAAUCGAAUAAUUUCCAACUCAUAUUGUGACCUUAUUAAAUGAUUAAAUUUCUCUUCAUUUAAUCAAGUUGCAUUUCACCAGAUGGAAGAAGGGAUUUAUUUGAUUGAACUUUUUUCAUAUUCACCAAGAACAUGUUAAGUCCCAUAAUUAUCUAGGAUAUGCCACCUCAAUUUUAACAGUUUCCUAGUUCAGCAAGAAUCAAAUGACCCAUGUGGCACUGUCUUUACUGAAAUAUAGGUCUACCUGCACAAUGUAAGCCUGAAUCCAAAACACCUAAGACACUGGCACUUUUCUAUUAAGUCAUGGACACGAUCUAUGACUUUAGAAAGAUAUGGAGCAAAUACCUAUGGAAUUCUCACAUAAAUUCAAAGAAGCAGAAAUGGAAUGUGAGCCACAUAGGCAACUUGAAAUUUUCUAGAAUCAAACCUGCACCACAGUAAUGACAAUGCCAGAUCCUGAACCACUAGGCCACCAGGAAACUCCCUGAAAUCUACUGUAUGUUUUAUAUUUACAUAUAUCUCAAUUUGAUGAGCCAUAUGUCAAGUGCUAAACCAGCCACAGGUGGCUAGUGAUGACAGUAUUGGAUGGCACAGGUGUAGACUUACUAAUCUGCUGGACAUAUUUCUAGAUACUUCCCUUAGACUACCUUCACCCUAAUCUCAACUUUCAGAUUGUCAUCGAACUCUCUGACCUCUUUAAGCAACUUUUUUGAAAUGCCCCUGGGGGGCUUCCUGCUGCGGCUCGGGGGAAAUGAACCUGACUAGUAUCCAUGAAGAUACAGGUUCAAUCCCUGGCCUCGCUCAGUGGGCCGAAGGAUCUGGCAUUGCUGUGAGCGGUGGGGUAGGUCACAGACAUGGCUCAGAUCUGGCGUCGUUGUGGCUCUGGUGUAAGUUGACAGCGGCAGCUCUGAUUCGACCCCUAGCCUGGGAACUUCCAUAUGCC